rnacentral:piRNA from 1 species
UGGCCCCACAUCUAUGGAGAAUGCCUUU